CACGGCGCACGGGUGCGUUACACGUGGGCAAUCUGCCCUUCGAUGGGGAAUAACUCCGGGAAACCGAAGCUAAUUCCGCAUAACAUUCCUUGGACCCCGGUUCGAGGAUUCAAAGCCGCAAGGCGUCGAAGGAGGAGCCCGCGCCCGAUUAGCUAGUUGGGGAGGUAACGGCUCACCAAGGCAAUGAUCGGUAGCUGGUCUGAGAGGAUGGCCAGCCACACUGGAACUGAGACACGGUCCAGACUCCUACGGGAGGCAGCAGUGGGGAAUCUUGCACAAUGGGCGAAAGCCUGAUGCAGCGACGCCGCGUGGGGGAUGAAGCAUUUCGGUGUGUAAACCCCUUUCGACCGGGAAGAAUGCCCGCAAGGGAGUGACGGUACCGGUAUAAGAAGCCCCGGCUAACUACGUGCCAGCAGCCGCGGUAAGACGUAGGGGGCCAGCGUUGUUCGGAAUUACUGGGUGUAAAGGGUUCGUAGGCGGUGUGGCAAGUCGGGAGUGAAAUCUAUGGGCUUAACCCAUAGGCUGCUUCCGA
rnacentral:rRNA from 1 species